rnacentral:rRNA from 1 species
AUUGAACGCUGGCGGCAUGCCUUACACAUGCAAGUCGAACGGCGGCACGGGUGCUUGCACCUGGUGGCGAGUGGCGAACGGGUGAGUAAUAUAUCGGAACGUACCUUAUUGUGGGGGAUAACGCAGCGAAAGCUGUGCUAAUACCGCAUAAUCCCUAAGGGGGAAAGCGGGGGACCGUAAGGCCUCGCGCAAUUAGAGCGGCCGAUACCUGAUUAGCUAGUUGGUGAGGUAAAGGCUCACCAAGGAAACGAUCAGUAGCUGGUCUGAGAGGACGAUCAGCCACACUGGGACUGGGACACGGCCCAGACUCCUACGGGAGGCAGCAGUGGGGAAUUUUGGACAAUGGGGGCAACCCUGAUCCAGCAAUGCCGCGUGAGUGAAGAAGGCCUUCGGGUUGUAAAGCUCUUUUGUCAGGGAAGAAACAGCAGCUCUAACACAGUUUGCGAAUGACGGUACCUGAAGAAUAAGCACCGGCUAACUACGUGCCAGCCGCCGCGGUAA